rnacentral:lncRNA from 1 species
AGCUUGUCUAGCUGAAUUUUAGAGUUGUUCCUUUUCAGGUAUGCUACUAGGUUUCAUUCCUAAGUUGGGCAGGAUGCACCGUUGUCCGAGGUUUCUGCCUAUGAUUUCUCAUACAGUUUACUCUUUUUAUUUUCAGGGUUGUCUUGGUGGAACAUUUGAGCCUGUAGCCUUCAGCGAUCUCUGGAAGAAGAUGGGGCGUAACGGCGUCAAGAAGAGCAUAUGGGAGCUCCUCUGCGGCUGUUCCUCUCCUCGAACCAACAAAUGAUUAAGACCGAAAUGCGAGAGGUUAAGUGUGUUAUGAUUCCUAAUAGGUGAAAUUCUUCCAAAUAGGUCUCUAUAAAGUUGCUUUAUGUUAAAUUUAAAAAGUGUAUGUGAUUACAUAUUGUUAAGUUCUUUGGUUAAAUUGGUUUCUAGUGUUGGGGUUGUGUUGGGCUAGCUUCUUCUGCAGCAAGGAGCAUGUAAAAGUGUGUCAUGUGUAACAAUAUUCG